rnacentral:rRNA from 1 species
GCAUGGUUGUCGUCAGCUCGUGUCGUGAGAUGUUGGGUUAAGUCCCGCAACGAGCGCAACCCUUGUGUUUAGUUGCCAACAGGUUAAGCUGUGCACUCUAAACAGACUGCCGUAGAUAACACGGAGGAAGGUGGGGAUGACGUCAAGUCAUCAUGCCCCUUAUGAUCUGGGCUACACACGUGCUACAAUGGUCGGUACAACGGGCAGCGAAAGAGUAAUCUGGAGCGAAUCCUAAAAAGCCGAUCCCAGUUCGGAUUGUGGGCUGAAACUCGCCCACAUGAAGUUGGAGUUGCUAGUAAUCGCGAAUCAGAAUGUCGCGGUGAAUGCGUUCCCGGGUCUU